UUGUCGAAACCUGCAAAGCAGAACGACCCGCGAACCGUUGCGAAUACCACGGUCGGCGGGACAGAGGGGAGUUGAGGGCCUGUCCCGUGCUCUCCUGCUGACCCGCCGUACGAACAAAACCCCGGCGCGAUAUGCGCCAAGGAAUCGAAAAYGAAAAGAUAGGGAAUGGGCUGCCCGUCGCGUGCCGGGAACGGAAUCCGCACGGGAGGCCCUUUCUCUUUUGGAAACAAAACGACUCUCGGCAACGGAUAUCUCGGCUCUCGCAUCGAUGAAGAACGUAGCGAAAUGCGAUACUUGGUGUGAAUUGCAGAAUCCCGUGAACCAUCGAGUCUUUGAACGCAAGUUGCGCCCGAAGCCUUCGGGCCGAGGGCACGUCUGCCUGGGUGUCAUGCAUCGUCGCCCCCCUAUCCGUCCGAGAAGGAGGGACGGGGCGGGCGGAGAUUGGUCUCCCGUGCGCUCCCGCUCGCGGUUGGCCGAAAUACGAGUUGUUGGCGGCCGAUAGCGCCACGGCAAGCGGUGGUUGUCAAGACCUUCGGAGGAUGCCGUCGGCUAGGCCGUCACAAGGCUUCGGGACCCUGUUUCUAUCCACGGCGACCCCAGGUCAGGCGGGAUCACCCGCUGAG
rnacentral:rRNA from 1 species